UGGGGAAUAUUGGACAAUGGGCGAAAGCCUGAUCCAGCCAUGCCCGGUGUGUGAAGAAGGCCUUUUGGUUGUAAAGCACUUUAAGUGGGGAGGAAAAGCUUAUGGUUAAUACCCAUAAGCCCUGACGUUACCCAAAAAAUAAGCACCGGCUAACUCUGUGCCAGCAGCCGCGGUAAUACAGAGGGUGCAAGCGUUAAUCGGAAUUACUGGGCGUAAAGCGCGCGUAGGUGGUUAUUUAAGUCAGAUGUGAAAGCCCCGGGCUUAACCUGGGAACUGCAUCUGAUACUGGAUAACUAGAGUAGGUGAGAGGGGAGUAGAAUUCCAGGUGUAGCGGGAAAUGCGUAGAGAUCUGGAGGAAUACCGAUGGCGAAGGCAGCUCCCUGGCAUCAUACUGACACUGAGGUGCGAAAGCGUGGGUAGCAAACAGGAUUAGAUACCCUGGUAGUCCACGCCGUCGAUGUCUACCAGUCGUUGGGUCUUUUAAAGACUUAGUGACGCAGUUACCAAUAAUAAGACCGCCUGGGGAGUACGGCCGCAAGGUAA
rnacentral:rRNA from 1 species